GACGAACGCUGGCGGCGUGCCUAACACAUGCAAGUCAGGGAGAAGGAGGUAGCAAUACUUCCGGAAACCGGCGCACGGGUGAGUAACACGUAGGUAACCUACCCUCGGGCGGGAACGAACAUCGAGAAAUACGGUGCUAAUACCGCAUAACGCAACGAGACCGCAUGGUUUUGUUGUUAAAGAUCCGCAAGGAUCACCUGAGGAUGGACCUGCGCCCGAUUAGCUAGUUGGCGGAGUAAAAGCCCACCAAGGCAACGAUCGGUAGCCGACCUGAGAGGGUGAUCGGCCACACUGGAACUGAGAUACGGUCCAGACUCCUACGGGAGGCAGCAGUGAGGAAUAUUGGUCAAUGGGCCGAAAGCUGAACCAGCAACGCCGCGUGAGGGACGAAGAUCUAAGG
rnacentral:rRNA from 1 species